GACGAACGCUGGCGGCGUGCUUAAUACAUGCAAGUCGAACGGUAAGGCCCUGCUUUUGUGGGGUGCUCGAGUGGCGAACGGGUGAGUAACACGUGAGUAACCUGCCUUUGACUUUGGGAUAACUUCAGGAAACUGGGGCUAAUACCGGAUAGGGGCCCCUGCUGCAUGGUGGGGGUUGGAAAGUUUCGGCGGUUGGGGAUGGACUCGCGGCUUAUCAGCUUGUUGGUGGGGUAGUGGCUUACCAAGGCUUUGACGGGUAGCCGGCCUGAGAGGGUGACCGGCCACAUUGGGACUGAGAUACGGCCCAGACUCCUACGGGAGGCAGCAGUGGGGAAUAUUGCACAAUGGGCGGAAGCCUGAUGCAGCAACGCCGCGUGCGGGAUGACGGCCUUCGGGUUGUAAACCGCUUUCGCCUGUGACGAAGCGUGAGUGACGGUAAUGGGUAAAGAAGCACCGGCUAACUACGUG
rnacentral:rRNA from 1 species